rnacentral:tRNA from 1 species
CAAAACAUAGCUUAAUCAAAAGCAUUCAGCUUACACCUGAGAGAUGUCCAUUAAACAGGACUAUUUUGA